rnacentral:misc_RNA from 1 species
GAAAUGCGAUAAGUAAUGUGAAUUGCAGAAUUCAGUGAAUCAUCGAAUCUUUGAACGCACCUUGCGCUCCUUGGUAUUCCUUGGAGCAUGCCUGUUUGAGUAUCAUGAAAUCUUCAAAGUAAAUCUUUUGUUAACUCAAUUGGUUUCUACUUUGGUAUUGGAGGUCUUUGCAGCUUCACACCUGCUCCUCUUUGUUCAUUAGCUGGAUCUCAGUGUUAUGCUUGGUUCCACUCGGCGUGAUAAGUUAUCUAUCGCUGAGGACACUGUAAAAGGUGGCCCAGGUAAAUGCAGAUGAACCGCUUCUAAUAGUCCAUUGACUUGGACAAUACUUUUAUGAUCUGAUCUCAAAUCAGGUAGGACUACCCGCUGAACUUAAGC